GAUGAACGCUAGCUACAGGCUUAACACAUGCAAGUCGAGGGGCAGCAUGGUCUUAGCUUGCUAAGGCCGAUGGCGACCGGCGCACGGGUGAGUAACACGUAUCCAACCUGCCGUCUACUCUUGGACAGCCUUCUGAAAGGAAGAUUAAUACAAGAUGGCAUCAUGAGUCCGCAUGUUCACAUGAUUAAAGGUAUUCCGGUAGACGAUGGGGAUGCGUUCCAUUAGAUAGUAGGCGGGGUAACGGCCCACCUAGUCUUCGAUGGAUAGGGGUUCGGAGAGGAAGGUCCCCCACAGUGGAACUGAGACACGGUCCAAACUCCUACGGGAGGCAGCAGUGAGGAAUAUUGAUCAAUGGGCGCAGGCCUGAACCAGCCAAGUAGCGUGAAGGAUGGCUGCCCUAGGGGUUGUAAACUUCUUUUAUAAAGGAAUAAAGUCGGGUAUGUAUACCCGUUUGCAUGUACUUUAUGAAUAAGGAUCGGCUAACUCCGUG
rnacentral:rRNA from 1 species